GAUGAAGAACGUAGCGAAAUGCGAUACUUGGUGUGAAUUGCAGAAUCCCGUGAACCAUCGAGUCUUUGAACGCAAGUUGCGCCCGAAGCCACUAGGCCGAGGGCACGCCUGCCUGGGCGUCACACGUCGUUGCCCCCCCCCCAUCUACUCCUUCGGGAUUGCGGGGGGCGGAUGAGGGCCUCCCGUGCGCCUAGCCGCGCGGUUGGCAUAAAUACCAAGUCCUCGGCGACGCACGCCACGACAAUCGGUGGUUGCGAAACCUCGGUUGCCCGUCGUGUGCGUUCGUCGCGCAUCGAGGGCUCGAAAAAAUGCUCGGCUCCGGCUCGGCUUUCAACGCGACCCCAGGUCAGGCGGGGUUACCCGCUGAAUUUAAGCAUAUCAAUAAGCGGAGGA
rnacentral:misc_RNA from 1 species